rnacentral:sRNA from 1 species
AACAGUCUUCUUCAUUCA